GAGCCGAACGAGCGCCUUGACUUGGUCGGCUUGGUUAUCCGCCGUGUCGAUCUCGACUUCAAACGCCGCCGCUCGGCAAUGCCGACCGGGUGCUCUGUUCUCCUGUGUCCUAACCGGACUCCACAAAGCCCUCUUGUCCGUGCUAAAAAGCUCCUGUUCCAUCGUUUACCGCGCGAAGAACCUCUCAGGGGUGAGUGGUGUGGGAGGAUUAGUAGAAGGGACCCCGGACAGGCAGACUUGCGCGUGUGCUCCGAACACUUCGACAGCGACCGCGACUACCGUCGUCUGCCUAGUGUUCUUCGCGAUGCCAGGCAGGCGAUGAAGAACGUCUACCUGAAGCCAGGUGCUGUACCUUCGCUCCGACUGCCCCCCACUGCGAAGCGCCUCUCCCCUUCCAAGGACCCAGCCGUGCCAACGUCGAAGCGCCGAAGAACUGAGAACGAUGAGCCGGUGGAGGUGGAUUGCUUCGAGGGGAGUACACAUCGCGAGCACAGCUGCCAAUCUCGUCACCGACCGGUGACACGCGACACAGCGGUCCAGGCCGACCUGCAUGAAAAUCCGGGACCCGCACGGACUCCGAGGUCGCCUGGCACGAAGGACAGUUCUGUGGGCACAGACCGAUGGCUGGGAAAGCGAUCUACCGGCACGCAGUGGAAUUCCUACGCCAAAGGUAUCACCACCCACUGGGUCCAGACCGAGGACUUGGAGACCGAGGACUUGGAGACACCACUGCCGGCAGCAACAGCACAACCACUGCUGUAGCCUUCGCCUUCACCACCACCACCUCUGCAGUGCCACCACGAAGACCGGGCCCGGCAUGGUGCAAUGAGCCCUGUCCUCAGUGAUUCGGACGAGGAGAAGGAGGAAGAAGAGGAGGACAACGACGACUGCGACGGUGACCCUCUGUGGGAGCCACCCACUUUGUCGAGCCCUUGGGACUGCACCAAAACGUUUGGAGUUCCCUGUUUUAUACAAAUACGAAACAGUGUGGAUCUCUAGUGUUUAUGUGACAAGUGAAAUGCACCUCUGAGAGAA
rnacentral:misc_RNA from 1 species